UGUGCUCUAACCAGGUCUAAUGGUAUUCUCUGGUCAUAUUCUAGGUUUUUUGUGGAGCUGCUUCUGCAGGUGAUGAUGUACCUUUUCGUCUUUUACCGUCUCACCUGGCUUUGGCCCAGAGCUGCUUCUCCUGCUCUUGCACGCCACGGUGGGAGGUGGGCGACCUACCAGAUAUUGGGCCGGUCCCAAAAGGAAGCGGUGAAAUGGGAUUCCUACCCUGAGCAGCCCUCUCUCCUGCAAGGGUUAUGAAAAUAUCCAAAAUGCCCUUCAUCUCACAAACAGGCGCUUGUCGAGAGCCAAGAGCUGCUGAGAUCUCCUGGGAGAAGAACUUUUUUAUGCGCACGUUUUAAAGACCUGCUUCUGUAAGCUGAUAACUUCAUGCUGCUCCCAUGUGCAGACUGACACGCGUUUGGAGAUCUGAUCUGAACACAGCAGAGCUGUUUGGUUGGCACGUGGUGAGAUGCUGGCUCUGAGCACCCAGCGGGCUUCAUGCUAUUGGUCCGAGAUGAAAAAUGUAGAUUUUGCCGGCUGACAAAGGCUGCCCUGCCUAAGUGAAGGAAAUAAAGGACAUGGACAAGAUGGUCUACAAGGGAAAACUGGUACCUUGGAUAACAUCAGGAAGGACUCUGAAGUGUUGGGAGUCCGUAGAGCAUGUAUGAAAGUAACCAAACAACUGCUGAGCUGAAAACUGUGGUGAAACUGGGGGAGUGGGAUCUCUAUUUCUUCCUAGAAAAAGGCUAAUUAAUGGUACAUCCACCUUCAAGUGAGGCAAGAAGGAGGACCUGGGAGGAGGAGCUGUAGAAAAGUGAGACUCACCUCAGUACCUGGAAAGAUCAUGGAGCAUGUCCUCCUGGAAAUCAUUUCCAGUCACGUGUGGAUGGAAAGGGCAAAUCCUCCUUGACAAACCUGGCUGCAGACUGUGUUGAAACGAUGAUGAUAAGAGUGAGCUGGACAGAGUGUAUAUUGAUUUUGGACUCGACCAACGUCAGAGCUGACCUGAUCAAGCACCAUUGGUGGCCAUCCCACUUCCAGGGACAGGUUGGAGUUGAUGAUCUUCACAAGCCUCUUCUGACCAAACUCUGUGUUUCGCACUGAACCUUCAAGCAGGGCUUGAGCAAAGUGAGUGGUGAGCUACUCCGAGCAUGGCACCUUCACACCUUCGUGAGACACGGUGCAGCCACGCGUGUCAUGACUCUUGCUCAGGCUUAGGCCCUGCUGAUGCAAUUGUGUCAUUCCUGGCUCAACUUCAUAGCACUUUUUGUGGGUGUGCCGAAGAUCCUGGCGUUGGACUGUGACACGAAUCCACGUGCCAGGUUUUAGGACCGCAGCUGUGAUUUGUGCCUGGAGGGUGCCCUGCAAUAAAACAACACACAGCAAACUAAUCCUUCGCAUGGACAAGAC